AUUAGGUUGGUGCAAAAGUAAUCACAGUUUUUGCCACUACUUUCAAUGGCAAAAACCGUGAUUACUUUUGCAUCAAGCUAAUAG
rnacentral:miRNA from 1 species